UACGGAGGAGGCAAGCGUUAUCCGGAAUUAUUGGGCGUAAAGCGUCCGCAGGUGGCACUUCAAGUCUGUCGUCAAAGACUGGGGCUUAACCCUGGAAAGGCGGUGGAAACUGAAGCGCUAGAGUGCGGUAGGGGUAGAGGGAAUUCCCGGUGUAGCAGUGAAAUGCGCAGAUAUCAGGAAGAACACCAACGGCGAAGGCAGCUCGCUGGGACGGAACUGACGCUAAGGCGCGAAAGCGUGGGGAGCGAACAGG
rnacentral:rRNA from 1 species